GACGAACGCUGGCGGCGUGCUUAACACAUGCAAGUCGAACGAAGUGGCGAACGGGUGAGUAAUACGUGGGUAACCUGCCCUCCUUUUUGGGAUAAGCCUUGGAAACGGGGUCUAAUACCGAAUAAAGGGGGAUGGGCUCGCGGCCUAUCAGCUUGUUGGUGGGGUGAUGGCCUACCAAGGCGGUGACGGGUAGCCGGCCUGAGAGGGUGACCGGCGACAUUGGGACUGAGAUGCGGCCCAGGCGCCUACGGGGGGCAGCAGUGGGGGAUAUUGCACAAUGGUCGAAAGCCUGAUGCAGCGACGCCGCGUGGGGGAUGAUGGCUUUCGGGUUGUGAACCUCUUUCGCUAUCGAAGGGGUAGGUGGAGAAGAAGCGCCGGCUAACUACGUGCCAGCAGCCGCGGUAAUAC
rnacentral:rRNA from 1 species